AUGGCUCCACUCCUGCAGAAACUGGGAAUGUCAGCUGCCUUGGGCACACAGGAGCUGCAGCACUGCUGCCAGAGGUGGUCUGUGUGUGUCCAUCCAUCAUCCAUCCAUCCAUCCAUCAUCCAUCCAUCCAUCAUCCAUCCAUCCAUCAUCCAUCCAUCCAUCAUCCAUCCAUCCAUCAUCCAUCCAUCCAUCAUCCAUCCAUCCAUCAUCCAUCCAUCCAUCAUCCAUCCAUCCAUCCAUCACCCAUCCAUGCCCUUGGAGCAGCUGUUUAACCCCCCUCUCUUGUGGCAGGGGAUCCCAGUGACCCCAAGCCCCAGUGACCCCACACACAGCAGUCACUGUCCUUUCCAAGGGCCAAACCCCACAGCUGUGGGUCUGCAAAGCUCUGGAGCAUCCCCUGGCCCCAGCCCAUGCUGGAGCACCUCCUCAUCCUUCAUUCCCAGAUCCUCUCAGGGAGAGCAGGGUCAGCCUGUGCUGCUUUCCCCACAAGCUCCUGCUCCUUGGAAGAUUUCAGUAAAGCUGUUCCAGGAGCCCCAGUGAUCAUUUCCUGCUGGAGCACUGUUCAGCUAUCGGGG
rnacentral:lncRNA from 12 species